CUGGGCUGGGCUCCGAUCCUGGGCUGGGCUCGGCUCGCCCUCCCCGCGGCCUCCGGGGGCUCGUACCUCCGGCCGCCCCGCCCCGGCACCGGAUCCCUCCGCUGGCAGCCCUCCUCUUCCUCCUCCUGCUUCUCCUCCUCUUCCUCUUCCACCUCCUCCUUUUUCUCCUCCUCCUUCUCCUUCUUCUUUUCCCUCUCCUCCUCCUUCUCUUCCUCCUCCCUCUUCUCUUCCCCCCUCCUCCUUCUUCUGCUCCUUCUCUCUCCUCCUCCUCUCCCUCCUUCUCCUCCCUUUCUCCUACUCCUUCUUCUCCUUUUUCUCCUUUUCCUCCUCUUACCCCUCCUUCUCCUCCUUUGCCUUCUCUUCACCCGCUUUUCCUUCUCUUCUCCCCCUCUUCCUCCUUCUCCUCCUUUUCCCCCUUCUCCUCUUCCUCCCUUUUCUCCUUUCCCCCUUUCUUCUCUUCCUUUCCUUCUCUUCCCCUUAUUUUCCUCCUCUCUCCCCCCUCCUCCUCCACCUUCUCCCCUUCCUCCUCCUCUUCCUCCUCCUCCCUCCCUGCCCUUCUCCCGGUCCUUUGCGUUUUCCCCUUCCCCUUCGGGAAGCCUUUCCCAGGCCAGCGGGCUGUUUCCUUCUCUCCCGUCUCCAUUCAAGUCACAGUCCCUCCUCCCUCAUCCCGCAUCCCUGCCGGAGAGGUUUCCCUCUCCAUUUCCCAUCCGCAGCCCUCCUCCUCCUCCUCCCUCCCGCUCCCCGGUUUUUGCCUCGUCACAAGCUCGGAGGGCAGGGAGUGCCCGCGCCUCCAUCUCCCCGGGCUGCGGGAUGGAAAAUAUGACACCAAAGAGGCUUAACAGCACAAAGAAAAUAAACAGCGAAUUAAAACAGUGGAGUGCCGGGAGCUCUGUCUCAAAGAGUCACUGCCUGUGCUGUUUGCUCCAAAACCUGUCGUGGCUCCACGUCCAGUCUCACAUUCCCCUGCAUUUCCACACACGUUUCAUUAGGAAUUUUUCUCACGGGUGAAGGUCAACGUAAAUCCGAGAACUGAUCCCUCCCUGCACGCACCUCAGCCUUCCAGAAACACUGCACUGAAUUCCUGCUCCUCUUCAUGUAAAAAA
rnacentral:lncRNA from 1 species